rnacentral:rRNA from 1 species
UACGGGGGGGGCAAGCGUUGUUCGGAAUUACUGGGCGUAAAGGGCUCGUAGGCGGCCAACUAAGUCAGACGUGAAAUCCCUCGGCUUAACCGGGGAACUGCGUCUGAUACUGGAUGGCUUGAGUUUGGGAGAGGGAUGCGGAAUUCCUGGUGUAGCGGUGAAAUGCGCAGAUAUCAGGAAGAACACCAAUGGCGAAAGCAGCUUUCUGGGACGGUACUGACGCUGAGACGCGAAAGCGUGGGGAGCGAACAGG